rnacentral:tRNA from 1 species
GCCAGUGUGACCGAGUGGUUUAAGGUGCCAGAUUUAAGAUUCUUCAAAAGAAUAAAACCCUGGUGGGGCAACCCGCGCGAGUUCGAACCUCGUCGCUGGCA